GCUGGGGGGGCUUAGCGCCACGGGAGAGGUGGACACGGAGGACGAGGAGGAAGGAGGAGGAGGAGGAGGAGGAGGAGGAAGAGCGGGCGAGCGGGAGUUAGAGGGUCCGCUGUGCACUCUGGUUCAGAACUGCACCAUGCUGCAAAGCAUAGUGGGGCCGGCCUGUAUCUUCCUCAGGCAGGGCUUUGCACUGAGCCAGAUUGACAGAGAUCUGCGACCAGAGGAAAUGGAAGGUACCACAUAUCAGCAAUUUGAUCCAAUCCCGAUACCCCUGCUGUUAACCCCAACCCCCCCCCCUCCUUACAAAACGUGGUCUUUCCCUCCAAAUCCCAAACCAAACCUCCUCCCUCAAUUGUUCUGCUAUAUUCAAUAU
ensembl:lncRNA